CCUUAGCGUCCUUCUUGGCCUUAGGCGUUCUUCGAGUCAUCCCCAUCUCUGCAUCUCUGCAUCUCUCAAACCAGCCUAGGUUAGCUCCAGAACUUUCUCUAUUUUCGUGGCUCUGUUUAUAGACUGUGUCGAUUCUCCUUCAUUGCAGAUAUGGGCACAGACGCGGCUCGGAUGUUCGCCAAGAGUCUCAAAGCCUAUAAGAGGGAAGGAGCUGCAACUUCCG
rnacentral:lncRNA from 1 species